ACGUAGGGGGCAAGCGUUAUCCGGAAUUAUUGGGCGUAAAGAGUGCGUAGGUGGUUUUUUAAGCGUGAGGUGAAAGGCAAUAGCUUAACUAUUGUAAGCCUUGCGAACUGGAAGACUUGAGUGCAGGAGAGGAAAGUGGAAUUCCUAGUGUAGCGGUGAAAUGCGUAGAUAUUAGGAGGAACACCAGUGGCGAAGGCGACUUUCUGGACUGUAACUGACACUGAGGCACGAAAGCGUGGGGAGCAAACAG
rnacentral:rRNA from 2 species